UACAGAGGUCCCGAGCGUUGUUCGGAUUUACUGGGCGUAAAGGGUGCGUAGGUGGUGAGGUAAGUCGGAUGUGAAAUCUCCGAGCUCAACUCGGAAAUGGCAUUGGAAACUACCUUGCUCGAGGGUUGGAGGGGGGACUGGAAUACUUGGUGUAGCAGUGAAAUGCGUAGAUAUCAAGUGGAACACCAGUGGCGAAGGCGAGUCCCUGGACAACUCCUGACACUGAGGCACGAAAGCUAGGGGAGCAAACAGG
rnacentral:rRNA from 1 species